rnacentral:rRNA from 1 species
CAGAGGGUGCGAGCGUUGUCCGGAAUCACUGGGCGUAAAGGGCGCGUAGGCGGUUUUGUAAGUUGGGGUGAAAUGCUGCGGCUCAACCGCAGCGCUGCCCUCAAGACUGCAAGACUUGAGCACGGUAGAGGCGGAUGGAAUUCCCGGUGUAGCGGUGGAAUGCGUAGAGAUCGGGAAGAACACCAAUGGCGAAGGCAGUCCGCUGGGCCGUUGCUGACGCUGAGGCGCGACAGCGUGGGGAGCAAACAGGAUUAGAUACCCUGGUAGUCCACGCCGUAAACGAUGGGCACUAGGCGUCGGGGGGAGCGACCCUCCCGGUGCCGUCGCUAACGCAGUAAGUGCCCCGCCUGGGGAGUACGGCCGCAAGGUUG